rnacentral:rRNA from 1 species
UACGGAGGGUGCGAGCGUUGUCCGGAAUCACUGGGCGUAAAGGGCGCGUAGGUGGCCUGUGGAAGUCUGCGGGGAAAGCCCGGCGCUCAACGCCGGGUCGGCCGUGGAUACUCUCGGGCUUGAGCUUACUAGAGGCAGAUGGAAUUCCGGGUGUAGCGGUGGAAUGCGUAGAGAUCCGGAAGAACAUCGGUGGCGAAGGCGGUCUGCUGGGGUAAUGCUGACACUGAUGCGCGACAGCGUGGGGAGCAAACAGG